GAUGAACGCUAGCGGCAGGCUUAAUACAUGCAAGUCGAGGGGCAGCAGCUUUGUAGCAAUACAAGGGCUGGCGACCGGCAAACGGGUGCGGAACACGUACGCAACCUUCCUUUAACUGGGAGAUAGCCCACCGAAAGGUGGAUUAAUAUCCCAUAGUAUAUUUGAGUGGCAUCACUUAGAUAUUAAAGCUCCGGCGGUUAAAGAUGGGCGUGCGUCUGAUUAGGUAGUUGGCGGGGUAACGGCCCACCAAGCCCACGAGCAGUAGCUGAUGUGAGAGCAUGAUCAGCCACACGGGCACUGAGACACGGGCCCGACUCCUACGGGAGGCAGCAGUAAGGAAUAUUGGUCAAUGGACGCAAGUCUGAACCAGCCAUGCCGCGUGGAGGAUGAAGGCCCUCUGGGUUGUAAACUUCUUUUCUUUGGGACGAAACCCCUGUUUCUACGGGGACUGACGGUACCAGAGGAAUAAGCACCGGCUAACUCCGUGCCAGCAGCCGCAGUAA
rnacentral:rRNA from 1 species